rnacentral:rRNA from 1 species
UACGUAGGGUGCGAGCGUUAAUCGGAAUUACUGGGCGUAAAGCGUGCGCAGGCGGUGAUGUAAGACCGAUGUGAAAACCCCGGGCUUAACCUGGGAACUGCAUUUGUGACUGCAUAGCUAGAGUACGGUAGAGGGGGAUGGAAUUCCGCGUGUAGCAGUGAAAUGCGUAGAUAUGCGGAGGAACACCGAUGGCGAAGGCAAUCCCCUGGACCUGUACUGACGCUCAUGCACGAAAGCGUGGGGAGCAAACAGG